rnacentral:rRNA from 1 species
GUCUACGCCGUAAACGAUGGAUACUAGCAUUCGGAGGUGUCGACCCCUUCGGUAGCGAAGCUAACGCGUUAAGUAUCCCGCCUGUGUAGUACGAGCGCAAGCUUAAAACAUAAAGGAAUUGACGGGGACCCGCACAAGCGGUGGAGCGUGUUCUUUAAUUCGAGGCUAAGCGAAGAACCUUACCAGGGCUUGAAAUCCUGCGAAGGUUUGCGAAAGCAGACUGUGCCUUUUAGGAACGCAGUGACAGGUGCUGCAUGGCCGUCGU